GACGAACGCUGGCGGCGUGCUUAACACAUGCAAGUCGAACGAUGACGACCGAGCUUGCUCGGUCUGAUUAGUGGCGAACGGGUGAGUAACACGUGAGCAACCUGCCCUUCACUCUGGGAUAACCUCGGGAAAUCGGGGCUAAUACCGGAUAUGAGCUCCUGUCGCAUGGCGGGUGUUGGAAAGUUUUUCGGUGAAGGAUGGUCUCGCGGCCUAUCAGUUUGUUGGUGGGGUAGUGGCUCACCAAGGCGAUGACGGGUAGCCGGCCUGAGAGGGCGACCGGCCACACUGGGACUGAGACACGGCCCAGACUCCUACGGGAGGCAGCAGUGGGGAAUAUUGCACAAUGGGCGAAAGCCUGAUGCAGCGACGCCGCGUGAGGGAUGACGGCCUUCGGGUUGUAAACCUCUUUCAGCAGGGAAGAAGCGAAAGUGACGGUACCUGCAGAAGAAGCGCCGGCUAACUACGUG
rnacentral:rRNA from 1 species